UGCUUGGAAAGCCCCACAGAUCCUUCCCUGUCUUCUUGGGAACAUUCUGUUCUCGCCUCAGUCCUAGGACCAUGAAAUAUCACUGCAGGCAGAAUUUUCCUAGCAACCACGGAAUCCAAGAUGACAUCAUACCCUGCAUGGCAGCUGAGCUGGUUCCCUACCAGAUGCUGGCUCUUCUCAGGCGCCGCCUGCCCAGCUCACUAAGCAGGAGGGGCUGGCAGGGACUGGGUGGUGGAGUGGUCAGCAAUGAGCCAUGGUGGCCCACCUGCUUCUUCCCUUGCCCGUCUCAUGGGCUUUCUCUUGGGGACCUUAGGCCUCUGUACUGAGCUGCGGGCACAAACAUAGCAUUGGCUGCCCUCAGACGGAAGAGCGAGUCUGCAGAGGGACAGCCCGGACCCAGGGCUGAAGACGGCCAGCACUGCCACCUGCCUGGGCUUGCUGGUUUCCAGGCCUCACCAAGAGGGGACGGGCCCUACCGGAGCCCCCUCUGUUCCAUCGGCUGGCCUGUACUCAUCAUUCCACCAGGGCCUGGCCAGGAACCAUGCAGGCCUCCAGGCAAGGAUGUUGCUUUUCUCUCUCCUCUUCUCCAUGAAACUUGGACCAGCAACCUCACGUGGUGAAAGACUGGAAACUCUCUGCCUUCAAGAUUAGGAAGAAGGAUGUACACUCCUGCCAUGUCUAUUCAACAUUGUGUUGAAUGUUCAAUCCAGGACAAUUAAGCAAGAAAAAGAAAUAAAAAGCAUCUAAAUUGGAAAGGAUAAGAAGUAAAAUUGUAUUUGUAGGUGACAUGGAUCUUGCAUAUAGAGAAUCCUAAGGAAGCCACUAAAAAACCAUUAGAACUAACAAAGUUGCAGGAUACAAGCUUAAUAUACAAACACCAUUUGUAUUUCUAUACAUUAGCAAUGAAUAAUCUGAAAAUGGAAUUAAAACAAUCUCAUUUACAAUAGCAUCAAAAAUAAUAAAAUACUUAGGAAUAAAUUUAACAAAUGGAGUAUAGACUUUGUACUUGGAAAAGUACAAAGCAUCACUGUUCAAAAACAUCAUAGAAAGAAAUUCAACACAACUCCUAUCAAAA